rnacentral:misc_RNA from 1 species
UGUAUUUUUUUUUUAUUUUUUUUAUUUUUAUUUUUUUUUUUUUUUUUUUUUUUUUUUUUUUUUUUUUUUUUUUUUAUGUAUGUUACAUCAGAACUUUUGACUGGGUGGAGCGAUUCCGACAAAUUUUCUUUUAAUCGAAAGGUGUUGUGUGCCAAUUGGUCCCAUUUAAAUUUAUUUGAGAUCUAACAACUACUUUUCGAGUUAUAUCUAAUAAUGCGUUUUUACUUGACGCUUUUUUCGUCGACUUACGUUGUAUUAUACCGCAUAACUUUCUACUGGAUGUACCGAUUUUGAUAAUUAUUUUUUUGUUGGAAAGGGGAUAUCCCUCGUUUAGUACCGUGAUAAGGAAA